rnacentral:rRNA from 1 species
UGCACAUGCUGUGAGCUCGAUGAGUAGGGCGGGACACGUGGUAUCCUGUCUGAAUAUGGGGGGACCAUCCUCCAAGGCUAAAUACUCCUGACUGACCGAUAGUGAACCAGUACCGUGAGGGAAAGGCGAAAAGAACCCCGGCGAGGGGAGUGAAAAAGAACCUGAAACCGUGUACGUACAAGCAGUGGGAGCACGCUUAGGCGUGUGACUGCGUACCUUUUGUAUAAUGGGUCAGCGACUUAUAUUCUGUAGCAAGGUUAACCGAAUAGGGGAGCCGAAGGGAAACCGAGUCUUAACUGGGCGUUAAGUUGCAGGGUAUAGACCCGAAACCCGGUGAUCUAGCCAUGGGCAGGUUGAAGGUUGGGUAACACUAACUGGAGGACCGAACCGACUAAUGUUGAAAAAUUAGCGGAUGACUUGUGGCUGGGGGUGAAAGGCCAAUCAAACCGGGAGAUAGCUGGUUCUCCCCGAAAGCUAUUUAGGUAGCGCCUCGUGAAUUCAUCUCCGGGGGUAGAGCACUGUUUCGGCAAGGGGGUCAUCCCGACUUACCAACCCGAUGCAAACUGCGAAUACCGGAGAAUGUUAUCACGGGAGACACACGGCGGGUGCUAACGUCCGUCGUGAAGAGGGAAACAACCCAGACCGCCAGCUAAGGUCCCAAAGUCAUGGUUAAGUGGGAAACGAUGUGGGAAGGCCCAGACAGCCAGGAUGUUGGCUUAGAAGCAGCCAUCAUUUAAAGAAAGCGUAAUAGCUCACUGGUCGAGUCGGCCUGCGCGGAAGAUGUAACGGGGCUAAACCAUGCACCGAAGCUGCGGCAGCGACGCUGAUGCGUUGUUGGGUAGGGGAGCGUUCUGUAAGCCUGCGAAGGUGUGCUGUGAGGCAUGCUGGAGGUAUCAGAAGUGCGAAUGCUGACAUAAGUAACGAUAAAGCGGGUGAAAAGCCCGCUCGCCGGAAGACCAAGGGUUCCUGUCCAACGUUAAUCGGGGCAGGGUGAGUCGACCCCUAAGGCGAGGCCGAAAGGCGUAGUCGAUGGGAAACAGGUUAAUAUUCCUGUACUUGGUGUUACUGCGAAGGGGGGACGGAGAAGGCUAUGUUGGCCGGGCGACGGUUGUCCCGGUUUAAGCGUGUAGGCUGGUUUUCCAGGCAAAUCCGGAAAAUCAAGGCUGAGGCGUGAUGACGAGGCACUACGGUGCUGAAGCAACAAAUGCCCUGCUUCCAGGAAAAGCCUCUAAGCAUCAGGUAACAUCAAAUCGUACCCCAAACCGACACAGGUGGUCAGGUAGAGAAUACCAAGGCGCUUGAGAGAACUCGGGUGAAGGAACUAGGCAAAAUGGUGCCGUAACUUCGGGAGAAGGCACGCUGAUAUGUAGGUGAAGCGACUUGCUCGUGGAGCUGAAAUCAGUCGAAGAUACCAGCUGGCUGCAACUGUUUAUUAAAAACACAGCACUGUGCAAACACGAAAGUGGACGUAUACGGUGUGACGCCUGCCCGGUGCCGGAAGGUUAAUUGAUGGGGUUAGCGCAAGCGAAGCUCUUGAUCGAAGCCCCGGUAAACGGCGGCCGUAACUAUAACGGUCCUAAGGUAGCGAAAUUCCUUGUCGGGUAAGUUCCGACCUGCACGAAUGGCGUAAUGAUGGCCAGGCUGUCUCCACCCGAGACUCAGUGAAAUUGAACUCGCUGUGAAGAUGCAGUGUACCCGCGGCAAGACGGAAAGACCCCGUGAACCUUUACUAUAGCUUGACACUGAACAUUGAGCCUUGAUGUGUAGGAUAGGUGGGAGGCUUUGAAGUGUGGACGCCAGUCUGCAUGGAGCCGACCUUGAAAUACCACCCUUUAAUGUUUGAUGUUCUAACGUUGACCCGUGAUCCGGGUUGCGGACAGUGUCUGGUGGGUAGUUUGACUGGGGCGGUCUCCUCCUAAAGAGUAACGGAGGAGCACGAAGGUUGGCUAAUCCUGGUCGGACAUCAGGAGGUUAGUGCAAUGGCAUAAGCCAGCUUGACUGCGAGCGUGACGGCGCGAGCAGGUGCGAAAGCAGGUCAUAGUGAUCCGGUGGUUCUGAAUGGAAGGGCCAUCGCUCAACGGAUAAAAGGUACUCCGGGGAUAACAGGCUGAUACCGCCCAAGAGUUCAUAUCGACGGCGGUGUUUGGCACCUCGAUGUCGGCUCAUCACAUCCUGGGGCUGAAGUAGGUCCCAAGGGUAUGGCUGUUCGCCAUUUAAAGUGGUACGCGAGCUGGGUUUAGAACGUCGUGAGACAGUUCGGUCCCUAUCUGCCGUGGGCGCUGGAGAACUGAGGGGGGCUGCUCCUAGUACGAGAGGACCGGAGUGGACGCAUCACUGGUGUUCGGGUUGUCAUGCCAAUGGCACUGCCCGGUAGCUAAAUGCGGAAGAGAUAAGUGCUGAAAGCAUCUAAGCACGAAACUUGCC